CUCUUAUCCAGAGUGGUGGAGGGAAUAGGCCCGAUGAUACCCAGCAACCGACUAAUGACGAAUUAGUACGGUGCUAAUUCCUACAAGUUCUCAUAUGAGCUUGAAAGAUAAGAG
rnacentral:ncRNA from 1 species